rnacentral:misc_RNA from 1 species
AACGCACCUUGCGCUCCUUGGUAUUCCUUGGAGCAUGCCUGUUUGAGUAUCAUGAAAUUCUCAAAGUCAAUCUUUUGUUAAUUCAAUUGAUUUGUGCUUUGGACUUGGAGGUCUUUGCGGAUUAAUAAUCUGCUCCUCUUAAAUUCAUUAGCUGGAUCUCAGUAUAUGCUUGGUUCCACUCGGCGUGAUAAGUUAUCACUCGCUGAGGACACCUGUAAAAAAGGUGGCCAGGAAAUACAGAUGAACCGCUUCUAAUAGUCUAUUAAGUUAGACAAUUAAAUUUUAAGAUCUGAUCUCAAAUCAGGUAGGACUACCCGCUGAACUUAA